rnacentral:tRNA from 1 species
GCCGACGUAGCUCAGUUGGUAGAGCAACUGAUUCGUAAUCAGUAGGUCGCCAGUUCGAGUCUGGCCGUCGGCACCA